rnacentral:rRNA from 1 species
GACGAACGCUGGCGGCGUGCUUAACACAUGCAAGUCGAACGGAAAGGCCCUGCUUUUGUGGGGUGCUCGAGUGGCGAACGGGUGAGUAACACGUGAGUAACCUGCCCUUGACUUUGGGAUAACUUCAGGAAACUGGGGCUAAUACCGUAUAGGAGCUCCUGCUGCAUGGUGGGGGUUGGAAAGUUUCGGCGGUUGGGGAUGGACUCGCGGCUUAUCAGCUUGUUGGUGGGGUAGUGGCUUACCAAGGCUUUGACGGGUAGCCGGCCUGAGAGGGUGACCGGCCACAAUGGGACUGAGAUACGGCCCAGACUCCUACGGGAGGCAGCAGUGGGGAAUAUUGCACAGUGGGCGGAAGCCUGAUGCAGCAACGCCGCGUGCGGGAUGACGGCCUUCGGGUUGUAAACCGCUUUAGCCUGUGACGAAGCGUGAGUGACGGUAAUGGGUAAAGAAGCACCGGCUAACUACGUG